ensembl:lncRNA
AGUGUGUCACAGCGGAGCGGGGUUUACCCGGAGGUCCCCGCCCUCCCGCGGCUGCAGAGGGUUGCAGGUUGCAGGAUGUUAGCUUCCUCCGGUGUGACUUCUGUCUUCAUUGACGGUGUUAUUCGUUACUCGAGAGAGGGCAUAUCACGUUUUUAACACGUCCCCGUGGAUAAUUAUCGGAUGUACCGUAAACGAGCGCUGUCGGAAGAGUUUAAGCGCACAUCUCCACGUUGUUUUGUUAGCAUCGGUUAGCAUCCUGUUACUUUUGCAUGGGGGAGUUAGCUUAGCACGUUAAAGUUGUGCUACAUCUCCGUCACAAGCGUCUUUCACAAUGGAAACUGCACCACAAUAGCCUCAGUAAUGGUCAAAUGGCGUAAAUGCAAACAAUGUAGUUGAGUUUAGACGCAAAUGUAAAGACUCUCCUAGUCCCUCGUUUCCUAGUUUCCUUUCCUCGCUCGCUUCCUUCCUCGCACUGGCCCUAAACUCGAGGCAUGACCGCUCAGAUUCUGUCCAUGGAUCCUCCGCUGGUUACAUUACCUCAAUUCACUGAAAAUUCAUAUAAAAUAUUCUGCUGCAGUGACUGAGGACGACGUCAAGCGACUGAUCAAGUUCAGAGCGUCCAACGAGGCUCUUUUCACCGGGAAGAGGAACUCGGCUAAGAUCGCCUGGAGUAUUAUUUUGAAAGGUCUUGGGCUUGAGGGGAAGCUGACCCAGAUCAGAUUGCGAAGAAAUGGGACAAUCUUCGAACCAAUAUAAGGUAAGACUAUAUAUGUGUAUUGUGUGUUUUUUAAUUGUUUCAACCCUGGCAUAAAUAUAACGUUCCUCCUCCCUCCCUGUGUGUGUGCAGGACCUGAAGCUGCCGUACCAGGGGCAGGACGCCUCUGGGGCGGUGGAGUCCUGGCCCUGGUUUCACAUGAUGGAGGAGGCCAUGAACGGACGCCUCUUUAACAGCCACAUGGUCCUCAGCCCGGACUCUGAACCCGACCAGAACCACAACCAGAUCCAGAACCAAACUCAAAACCAGAUCCAAGACCAAAACCAGAUCCAAGACCAAAACCAGAGCCAGAAUCAGAGCCAGGAGAACCAGGACAUCCUGGAGUUCCUGAUAAAGACGGAGAUGGACGAGUCUGUGAGCAUGAGCCGCAGGAGCAGGAGAUCAGCAGUGACCACAGCGGAGGGAGCGACUCUGGGCUGGAGAAGGAUCUCGGAAUGCUCUUACAAAAUGACCGACAACGAAACGGAAAAAUUAAUCAAACUCCGAGCUGCAAAUGAAGCGCUGUUCACAGGACGAAGGAACACAGCCAAACCGGCCUGGAGGGCCGUCCUGUUCGAGCUCGGGCUCCAGGGGAAAGUGUCCACGGACCAGCUGGCCAAAAAGUGGGACAUCUCAAGAGGAAAUACAAGGUGAGUGCAUGUUGUCAUGGAGACGCCCCUUAACACAGUUGUUAUGGACGGGAACAACAUCUACGUCACUGAGAAAGUUACUGAAGCCUUCGUCCAUUGAAAUAAAUGAGUUUGGCUUAGAACUUCUUAUUUUACGCCUGAGAGAUUUGGACAGUUAACAUCGUAACCC